rnacentral:rRNA from 1 species
UACGUAGGCAGCAAGCGUUGUUCGGAAUUACUGGGCGUAAAGAGUGUGUAGGCGGUGCUCUAAGUCUGUUGUGAAAUCUCCCGGCUCAACUGGGAGGGUGCGGCGGAAACUGGAGUGCUCGAGGGUGGGAGAGGUAAGCGGAAUUCCUGGUGUAGCGGUGAAAUGCGUAGAUAUCAGGAGGAACACCUGUGGUGUAGACAGCUUACUGGACCACUUCUGACGCUGAGACACGAAAGCGUGGGUAGCAAACAGG